rnacentral:tRNA from 1 species
GGUAGUGUGGUCGAGCAGUCUAAGGCGCUGGAUUAAGGUUCUAGUUCCUUUGGGGGCAUAGGUUCGAAUUCCACAGCUGCCA